UACGAAGGGGGCUAGCGUUGUUCGGAAUUACUGGGCGUAAAGCGCGCGCAGGCGGUUCUUCAAGUCAGAGGUGAAAGCCCAGGGCUCAACCCUGGAAUGGCCUUUGAGACUAGAGGACUUGGGUACGGGAGAGGUGAGUGGAAUUCCGAGUGUAGAGGUGAAAUUCGUAGAUAUUCGGAAGAACACCAGUGGCGAAGGCGGCUCACUGGCCCGUUACCGACGCUCAGGCGCGACAGCGUGGGGAGCAAACAGG
rnacentral:rRNA from 2 species